rnacentral:RNase_P_RNA from 1 species
CGGGCAAGCCGGGCGAUCGCUGCCCCGUCCGAGCGUUCCGUCCCGCUUCGCGGGGCGGGGCUGGCAUGGGCGGGGGAGAGGAAAGUCCGAACUCCGCAGGGCAGUGUGCUCGCUAACGGCGAGGGUCUGAGGAGGAUUCCCGAUUCAUCGGGACGUACGCCUCAGGCACGGAAAGUGCCACAGAAAACAUACCGCCCGGUUCUCCUCCGGCUUGCCGGGGUCGAGACCGGGUAAGGGUGAAAAGGUGCGGGCUGACAUGUCGGCCCCCGUCCCGCCCGGCGGGAUGGGGUAAGAGCGCACCGCCCCGGCAGUGAUGCCGGGGGCAGGGCAAACCCCACACGGAGCAAGACCAAAUAGGAGAGGAGGAGUGGCCCGCUCCGCAACCCCGGCUUGCCGGGGGGCAACUCUCGGGUAGGUCGCUUGAGCCCGUCAGCAAUGCCGGGCCUAGAUGAAUGAUCGCUAUCCCGGCUCGCCGGGGACAGAAUUCGGCUUACAGGCUUGCCCGCGCC